rnacentral:rRNA from 1 species
GAUGAACGCUAGCGACAGGCCUAACACAUGCAAGUCGAGGGGCAGCACAAGGAGCAAUCUGAGGUGGCGACCGGCGCACGGGUGAGUAACACGUAUGCAACCUGGCUGUAAUCGGGGGAUAGCCUCCUGAAAGGGAGAUUAACACCCCAUAAUACCUAUUUCUCGCAUGAAUAGUAGGUUAAAUGCGAAGAUUACAGAUGGGCAUGCGUUUCAUUAGCUGGUUGGUGAGGUAACGGCUCACCAAGGCAACGAUGAAUAGGGGUUCUGAGAGGAAGGUCCCCCACACUGGUACUGAGACACGGACCAGACUCCUACGGGAGGCAGCAGUGAGGAAUAUUGGUCAAUGGGCGAGAGCCUGAACCAGCCAUGUCGCGUGCAGGAUUACGGCCCUAUGGGUUUUAAACUGCUUUUAUACGAGGAUAAAAGACAAUACGCGUAUUGUUUUGCAGGUAUCGUAUGAAUAAGGAUCGGCUAACUCCGUGCCAGCAGCCGCGGUAAUACGGAGGAUCCGAGCGUUAUCCGGAUUUAUUGGGUUUAAAGGGUGCGUAGGCGGGGAAAUAAGUCAGCGGUGAAAGUUUACAGCUUAACUGUGAAAUUGCCGUUGAAACUGUUUUUCUUGAGUAUACGGGCAGUAUGCGGAAUGUGUAGUGUAGCGGUGAAAUGCAUAGAUAUUACACAGAACACCGAUUGCGAAGGCAGCAUACUAUAGUAUUACUGACGCUGAUGCACGACAGCGUGGGGAUCAAACAGGAUUAGAUACCCUGGUAGUCCACGCCGUAAACGAUGAUAACUCGCUGUUUGCGAUAUACCGCAAGUGGCCAAGCGAAAGCGAUAAGUUAUCCACCUGGGGAGUACGCCGGCAACGGUGAAACUCAAAGGAAUUGACGGGGGCCCGCACAAGCGGAGGAACAUGUGGUUUAAUUCGAUGAUACGCGAGGAACCUUACCCGGGCUUGAAAUGUAAACGAAUACGAUGGAAACAUUGUAGCCAGCAAUGGCGUUUAUGUAGGUGCUGCAUGGUUGUCGUCAGCUCGUGCCGUGAGGUGUCGGCUUAAGUGCCAUAACGAGCGCAACCCCUAUCGUUAGUUACUAACAGGUCAAGCUGAGGACUCUAACGAGACUGCCACCGUAAGGUGUGAGGAAGGUGGGGAUGACGUCAAAUCAGCACGGCCCUUACGUCCGGGGCGACACACGUGUUACAAUGGGAGGUACAGAGGGCAGCUACACAGCGAUGUGAUGCGAAUCUUUCAAAAACCUCUCUCAGUUCGGAUCGGAGUCUGCAACUCGACUCCGUGAAGCUGGAUUCGCUAGUAAUCGCGCAUCAGCCAUGGCGCGGUGAAUACGUUCCCGGGCCUUGUACACACCGCCCGUCAAGCCAUGGAAGCCGGGGGUACCUAAAGUACGUAACCGCAAGGAGCGUCCUAGGGUAAAACUGGUAACUGGGGCU